rnacentral:rRNA from 1 species
CCUGAACGCUGGCGGCGUGGCUAAGACAUGCAAGUCGCACGGAUGUAGCAAUACAUCAGUGGCGAAUGGGUGAGUAAUGAAUCGCUAAUGUACCCCGGACUCUGGGAUAGCUAGCCGAAAGGUUAGGUAAUACCAGAUGAUAUACCUUUAUCGCAUGAUAGAGGUCUCAAAGGUCCGCCGGUCUGGGAGCAGGCGAUUUCGUAUCAGCAGUUGGUGAGGUAACGGCUCACCAAGGCGACGACGCGUAGCCGGACUGAGAGGUUGGCCGGCCACAUUGGGACUGAGACACUGCCCAGACUCCUACGGGGGCUGCAGUAACGAAUCUUCCGCAAUGCACGAAAGUGUGACGGAGCGACGCCGCGUGUGGGACGAAGCCCUUCGGGGU